rnacentral:lncRNA from 1 species
CCAUAUCUUUUACCGAAUCCUAAUUUGAAAUGUUGUAUUGACUCUAUGAGUCUAACCACAAAGUUAGCUUCAGGACCUGUGACAACCUCACGUUGUCCCACUAGCAACCUUACCUUGGUCAACUACCCUAACUUGAAGGGAUCUCAAACUGUGAAGUCACUGGUCGGCACCAGUGUUGGUGUCCUGAUACUUUGAACACAAGAAGAAAAAUGUAACAGAACCGUUGUUAACAAGCACCUGGAGACUGAAGGGAAAUUUCUCAAUGUAAAGGCGCUGGUGCGGAUCCUGUUUCGCUAACCUCCUUCUUUCCUGUGGUGUUUUGGGUGUUGAGUUGUCCCACGUGAUUACUGUAGGGCUUUUUAGUUUGUUGUUUUGUUUUUGCUUCUCUGGGGGAUGGAUUGGUGCUAAACAUCAAAUCUGUUUUCAUGUAGGUUUUAUACAUGACUAGACCAGUUUUUCUUUCCAUUACAAUUGGGACAUGAAUGGAAUAUGGCUCUAAUUAGAUUUUAAAGAAAAAAGGCACUGUUAUAAAACUCUGCAUUUGGUAGGGCAAAAAAGAGCACAGGCUUCGGCUAUGGGAGUUUGGCAUCUGUUAAUAAUAUGCUCCUGAGGAAGGAGAGUGGGGAGGGAAGCACUAAGAACAAUUCAAAGCUGCAGAGGAACAUGGUCUUCUCUUCACCCUCAGACUUUUUCCUUUUGUGUGAUGGUGUUGGUGUUGGGCAACAAACCCAAGGUCUUGUCCAUGCCAGACAAGCACUCGAGCAGGGGUUUGUAUUAAUAUCCUCUUCUCCUUGCAUUAGUCUCCAAAUUCUAAUCAGAUUUCUUUUUCUAUUUCUCAGAUCAUUUAUUUGUGUGUAUACUCCUCCUAAGUGUAAAAGAGAAUUUUAAUGCUUAGCCAAAGCUCGUGUUACUCAUGGCAUCUUUGUUUUAAUUAAAUGUGAGUUAAAUUCUACUGGUCAUUUGAUCUGAAAUGUUAUGUAUGACACAUAUGCUAUUAGAGGGUAUUUCCAUAUUUUUUUUAAAAACUAGAUUGUUGGAGACAGGCAUGGUAAUGUAGGCCCAGAAUACCAGUACUUGAGAAACCAAGACAAGAAGAUUGAUACAGAUUAAAGGCCAGCCUUGGUACAGAAUAAGACUUCAUCUAAGAAAGGGAGGAAGAAAGAAAGAAAGAAAGAAAGAAAGAAAGAAAGAAAGAAAGAAAGAAAGAGAGAGAGAGAGAGAGAGAAAGAAAGAAAGAAAGAGAGAAAGAGAGAAAGAGAGAAAGAGAAGGGAAGGAAGGAAUUGAGGGAGGGAAGGAAAGAAAGGAACAAAGAAAGAAAACCAAAGCCAACAAACAAAAUAUUAUAUUGGGUUGAACCAUGGCUAAAUGUAUCCUUAGCUUACACAGACACCUGGGUUUUAUCCCCAACACCAAGUGAAAAGUUUAAGCUGAAGAGAUGGUUCAGUGAGUAAAGACAUUUUCCGCCAUAGUUGAAGGAACAAACUUAUUCCUGCAAACUAGUCUCUGGUGACUUUGACAUGCAUGCAGGGACACAUCUACCUUCACCACUUUCCAAUAAGUAAAUAAAUGCAAUUGUUUUUUUAAUUAAAAUAAGAUAAAAUAAAAGUUAUUACCUUUUGUAGGUACUGUCUCUGGUCAUCUAAAACAUGUAUGCUAUAUGUUGAUGCCUUCGGUCUGAUGGAUUGUAUUUCUUCCAUGUUUUGGGUUUACAAACAUUUCCUUACAGUUUGAAGAUAACCAGUACAAAUGUAUCAGUAUUUGUAUUAUUUGCAAACAACAACCCAUUUUUUAAUGCAUAGCUUUCCUAAAAUAUAACUGUGUUUCUAUUUUAAUGAACUUCUUGUUACAUUUGCCUUUUAUACACGUGAAUAAACUUUAUAUUAAGUAA